UACGUAGGGGGCGAGCGUUGUCCGGAUUUAUUGGGCGUAAAGAGCUCGUAGGCGGUUCGAUAAGUCGGACGUGAAAUCUCCACGCUCAACGUGGAGGGGCCGUUCGAUACUGUCGUGACUCGAGUCCGGUAGGGGAGUGUGGAAUUCCCGGUGUAGCGGUGAAAUGCGCAGAUAUCAGGAGGAACACCAAUGGCGAAGGCAGCUCGCUGGGACGUGACUGACGCUGAGACGCGAAAGCGUGGGGAGCAAACAGG
rnacentral:rRNA from 1 species